CUUGUACUUUACCUGUCUUAAAAUUCUUGUCUUAAAUUUGUCUAGAUAUAAAUGUAUCUAGUCACGUUUAAAUAUUUAGAUACAUCUAUUUCUAGACAAAUGUAAGAUAAAAAAUUUAAGACGGAGAGAGUAUUUC
rnacentral:pre_miRNA from 1 species